AUAAAACUGAAUUUGGGAUGUAGGUGUGUGAGCAAGUGGCACAGGGAUCCAGGAAUGAACAAUUGACUUGAACAUAAUAUAAGUGAAAGCGAUUUAUUUACAACAAUCUGGCAAUUUACAAUAAUAUAAGAGUCUGGAAUUUUCAAGAAUAUAAGAGUUUACAUUAAAGAUAUAAGAAUUUGCUUAAAUCUACCUGAACUAACUUAUAUUAAGUUACACGUGAUGUAUAAUACAAUGUCUCGAGAGAGAGCGUUCCUGAGCUUUCCACAUACCUGGGAGUCAUUUACUGGAGUUACAUUGCUUACAUAAACUCAGUCAAACCAUUAUUCCAGAUACACUAAAUAUUUGAACAUUGAUAAUGUCCUUUAGUACACAGUUCAGUUAUACAUUCUGUUGUCAUCGUCAAUGUCUAUACUGUCUCGAUGUCAUCAGCUAUCGCUUCCAUUGACCAUCCUGACGGGACAAGAUGUUUUCCCGUCAUUCUUAUUACAUCCUGUUGUUUCGCACAAGAUAACUUCUCUUCAACUUUCUCUCUUCACCUUCGUCCAAAUUCUCUUUCAACUGACUUCCCAUUCGUUCAUCCUGGAUAUGAUUCAUUCCAUCGUUUAUAUAACUCCAACGUUUCUG
rnacentral:lncRNA from 1 species